rnacentral:tRNA from 1 species
AGCCCCGUCGUCUAGCGGUCAAGGAUAACGCUCGAGUCCUCAAAGAAGGCUCUGGACCUUUUGACAGCGGUUCGAAUCCGCUCGGGGCUA